CUGAGACAACCUUGAUUUCGCAACAAUGUAUGUCGCCCCACUAACCUUAUCCCUUGCCUUCACAUAGAUAAGACCGGCAUUGACACAGAGAGCGAGAUUGCUGGGCAGCGUCCAGGGGGUUGUUGUCCACGCCACAAGAGCUGCAUUGUCCGGGUCAUCAACGAUGGGGAACGAUACCAUUACUGCCGGGUCAGGUACAUCCUUGUAAUUCUGACCGGCUUCGAAAUUGGAGAGAGGGGUCUUGCAGCCGG
rnacentral:misc_RNA from 1 species